CCACGUUGGCUGCUGAAGGAACUUCCGCGAGAAUUCCGUCCUCUGUUGGGCGGCAUUAAGAUGAUGGAUUGUGAGCGGCCUCAUUAAGUCACGCACCGCUGCUGACAGUACCGCCUGUCCUUUAAGACUGACACAGUGCCUAUUGUAAGGAAAUGGAAGAGUGCAGUGUUUGCAGUGUUGAGGAUGCCAUCAGGAAAAGCUGUCAUGGGUUCGCCAGCAGCUGUACGCUCCUUUUGGUAAUCCAUCUUCAUUGCUGAGAAGUAUACCGUGUUGUGACAGAACGGACACUGAGAGAUUCUAGAAAAUGGAAAGCAGGUACCUAACACAGAUACAGCCAGACAACCAAUCAGACCUCCAAUAUAUGCACUGGACUGGAUGGAGAAACUCAGCCGCCAGCCAAUAACACGCAAGACAGAGUGAGACGAGUAUCUGAAUCUGCUGAUGUAUCGCUGCAUUUUCUGCACUGGUUCUGCAGGACAAUUU